GUACUCUCAAGCUUUGCUUGGUGUUGGGUGCUGUCUAGGCUACUAGACUCGCCUCAAAAGAAUUGGCAGCCAGUGUAUUGGUCUUGAGCGCAGCACAAUUUGCACUCUAGCCAGCUACUUCUGGUAUCCAACAAGCCUAUUACAAUUC
rnacentral:misc_RNA from 1 species